rnacentral:misc_RNA from 1 species
GCAAACUUGGUCAUUUAGAGGAAGUAAAAGUCGUAACAAGGUUUCCGUAGGUGAACCUUCGGAAGGAUCAUUACCGAAACGCGGCAGCCCGAGGGCCGCCACGCGCGUUCAUUCCACCCUUGACUUUGAGUACCUUCGUUUCCUCGGCGGGUUCGCCCGCCAGCGGGGACCCUCAAAACCCUAUGCAGUAGCAGUCUUUGUCUGAAAAGCAACAAUGAUCAAAACUUUCAACAAUGGAUCUCUUGGUUCUGGCAUCGAUGAAGAACGCAGC